rnacentral:rRNA from 1 species
UACGAAGGGGGCUAGCGUUGCUCGGAAUCACUGGGCGUAAAGGGUGCGUAGGCGGGUCUUUUAAGUCAGGGGUGAAAUCCUGGAGCUCAACUCCAGAACUGCCUUUGAUACUGAGGAUCUUGAGUUCGGGGAGAGGUGAGUGGGACUGCGAGUGUAGAGGUGAAAUUCGUAGAUAUUCGCAAGAACACCAGUGGCGAAGGCGGCUCACUGGCCCGGUACUGACGCUGAGGUGCGAAAGCGUGGGGAGCAAACAGG